CACGUAAGCAACCUGCCCCAAAGACCGGGACAACGUUCCGAAAGGAGCGCUAAUACCGGAUGUGCCCAUUCUGUGACAUCGCGGGAUGAGUAAAGCGCGCAAUCGGCUUUGGGAGGGGCUUGCGGCCUAUCAGCUAGAUGGUGGGGUAACGGCCUACCAUGGCGACGACGGGUAGCUGGUCUGAGAGGAUGGUCAGCCGGAUUGGGACUGAGAUACGGCCCAG
rnacentral:rRNA from 1 species